GCUACAGUGCUACUGGCCCAUAAUCAGGCAACUGCAGAGUCUUAGGGGGUUAUCUAAUGUAGUCUUGGGGUGGCUGGAUAGACUUCCCAAAGAAGGUGAUGCCGAAGCUGAGGUCGGAAAUUACGAAGAUCAGCUAUCAAACUUGGAAAUCAUGUCUUAGAGAUCAAGGAGCCAAGAGAUGAGACAAGCCUGGGUUCCUAGGUGAUAGGGUGUGGCUGUGUCCCCACCCAAAUCUCGUCUUGAAUUGUAGCUCCCAUAAUCCCCACAUGUUGUGGAGGGACCCUGUGGAAGGUAAUUGAAUUAUGGAGGAAGGCCUGAGGAGAGAAGACACAUAGUCAUGCUGACUAAACCAGAUCACCUAGAAUUACCAAAUGGAAAGAUUGUGCCUGCAGCCUGGCCUGUUGCCCACAGCGGUCUACCUGCCACACUGGGAAAGAUCGAGCAGAGACAGAGAAGAAAAGGAGGCUCCAUUUUUCAGGCUGCUCUCCCGCAGGCUCAUGUUUUGUGUUCAUGCCAGGCAGAGAACACAAAAUGUUCCAAUAAAUAAGUAUCAAAGGUUAGUGGUGAAAAUGAAGGAGGAGGAGGCAUUGCGUGAAAAACUAAACAUGCAAAAUAUUACACACAAAGAGAACCAAAAUGCAGGUUCACUGGAAAUGAUAGACAAUAUGUUAAAACAAGAGGAGAGAAGAGAGCUGAAAUAAUCAAAUGGAAACACACAAUUUAGGGCUAAGAUCUUGUUGUGUUCAGCCACAAAUGAUGGCCAGCAGUGAGGAAUCUGUGUGUUCUCCACACUCUUCGCUCCUGGGAAGUCAACUCACAUGGACCAUGAUAUCAAUAUCUGCUCCUUCCCCUAAUAUCUGUUUGACCUUGGGUCAGUUACUUAAACUUCCUAAGCCUUAGUUUCUUUGUCUGGAAAAUAGGGAUAGUUAUACCUACCACACAACCACUUUGUAAUGAAUAUGUUGGAAAUUAUAUGCAAAUUGGCUUCCGUUGGUGUUUGGAACAUAGUAGGUUUUUAACUGGAAUAUAAUAGCUACCAUUAUCAGUAUCAUCAUAUUAAUUUAUAUUUCCAUCUUCAGCCCUUAACCCAGGAUCUUCAGUAAAUGUUGAAUUCUCAAAUUUGUUAAAUUCACUUGUCUAUACUAAUAUUUUACUCUAGGUUUCUUAGAAUAUUCUAGAUAAUAUUAUUAUGUAGAAUAUGUUAUGUAAGCUUCAUCUUAUCUGUAAAUAUAGUUUUACUUUUUCCUUUCUAAUUUUUAUGUCGAUUACUUCUUUUUCUUGGCUUAUUGAAUUGGCUAGGAUUCCCGUACAGUGUUGAAUACGUGCAGCAAGACUGCACAUCUUGCCUUGUUCCUGGUCCCACAGAGAGAAUAUCCAGUACUUCACAAUAAGUAUGUGUUAAUUGUAGAUUUUAUUAGAUUGAGGAAGUUCCCUUUCCUUUCAAGUCAGUCUUUUUAUUUUAAACAUGUAUUGAAGUUUUGUCAAAUGUCUUCAUCUAUUGGAAUAAUUAUACAUAUCUCUUUUUUAUUCUGUUAAUAUUACAUUUCAAUCUUCUGUCUACCUAAAAUCCCUAGAAUAAUCUCCAUUUGGCUAUGAUGUGUUGUGCUUUUAUAUAUUACUGAAUUCUAUAUGCCAAUAUUAUUAAAAUUUUCUGUCUUUAUGAGAA
rnacentral:lncRNA from 1 species